GACAAACGCUGGCGGCGUGCUUAACACAUGCAAGUCGAACGAAGUGGCGAACGGGUGAGUAAUACGGGGGUAACCUGCCCUCCUUUUUGGGAUAAGGCUUGGAAACGGGGUCUAAUACCGAAUAAAGGGGGAUGGGGUCGCGGCCGUUCAGCUGGCUGGUGUGGUGAUGGCCGCCCAAGGAGGUGACGGGUAGCAGGCCUGAGGGGGUGACCGGCCACAUGGGUACUGAGAGACGGCCCAGAGUCCUACUGGGGGCGGCAGUGUGGGAUAUGUCACAAUGGGCGAAAGCCUGAUGCAGCGACGCCGCGUGGGGGAUUAAGGCUUUCGGUUUGUAAACCUCUUUCGCUAUCGAACGGGUAGUUGGAGAGUAAGCGCCGGCUAACUACGUGCCAGCAGCCGCGGUAAUUC
rnacentral:rRNA from 1 species